rnacentral:rRNA from 1 species
AUUGCCUCAGUAACGGCGAGUGAAGCGGCAACAGCUCAAAUUUGAAAUCUGGCUCCUUCGGGGCCCGAGUUGUAAUUUGCAGAGGAUGCUUCGGGUACGGGUUCCUUCCGAGUUCCCUGGAACGGGACGCCAUAGAGGGUGAGAGCCCCGUCUGGUAGGACACCCAGCCCGUGUGAAGCUCCCUCGACGAGUCGAGUAGUUUGGGAAUGCUGCUCUAACGGGAGGUAUACUCCUUCCAAGGCUAAAUACCGGCUGGAGACCGAUAGCGCACAAGUAGAGUGAUCGAAAGAUGAAAAGCACUUUGAAAAGAGAGUCAAAUAGCACGUGAAAUUGUUGAAAGGGAAGCGCUCGCUACCAGACAUGGGUUCGGCGGUUCAACCGGGGCCACGCCCCGGGGCACUCCGCCGGCCCAGGCCAGCAUCAGCUUUCCGUCGGGGGCAAAGGCGUCGGGAAUGUGGCUCUCCUUCGGGGGAGUGUUAUAGCCCGGCGUGUCAUACCCUUCGGGGGGCUGAGGUACGCGCUUCUGCAAGGAUGCUGGCGUAAUGGUAGCUAGUGACCCGUCUUGAAACACGGACCCCUGUGUGAAAUUG